rnacentral:lncRNA from 1 species
AAUAACCACUAUAAAAUUAUUAUUUUCUUGAUAAACGGAGACGACAAAGACUCCAAACCUCUUUGAACAUCAUCAUAUGUUAGUGAAGGAUGCAACUAGGCAUUAAAACAAUCUUGUCAUAUUUUUUGAAAUUUACUCAAAAUCUAUAAGCUAACCCCUACAAAAAUAUUGAGUUUUUGGUAAAUUCUUAAUAUACUGAAGCCCAUAAUCUUUAGUGAUGUUUUAAAAUUUCUACCAUAUUCUACAUUUGUAUUAAUGUAUGCUAAACUCUAUUUCAUGGUAAAUGAGCAUCGUUCAAUUGUUUUUUUAAUUAAUUUUGUAAGUCUUCAUAACACUCCCUAAAUCGAUGGAAUAACCACUAUAAAAUUAUUAUUUUCUUGAUAAACGGAGAUGACAAAGGCUCCAAACCUCUUUGAACAUCAUCAUAUGCUAGUGAAGAUUGCAACCAAGCAUUAAAACAAUAUAUACAUAUUUUUUGAAAUUUUCUCAAAAUCUAUGGGCUAACCCCCAACAAAAAUAUUGAGUUUUUGGUAAAUUCGUUAUAUAAUGAAGCCAAUAAUCUUUAGUGUUGUUUUAAAAUUUCUACCAUAUUUUACAUUUUUAUUAAUAUAUGUUAAACUCUUUUUCAUGGUAAUUGAGCAUCAUUCAAUUAUUUUUAUCAAUUAAUUUAGUAAAACUUCAU